ACAAGGAAAUGGUUUAAAGAUCUGUAAAUAGUUAUUGUUUAGUAGUCAAAUAAUUAAAUUUCAAUAUCCAAGGCUCCAACUUUUGAAAUGUGUAAAACAAACUGAAUUCCAAUGGGCAAACACUUCCAAUUUUUAAACAAAAUUCCAAGCGACAUACCCACAUGCAUACAUACAAACCCACUUGUAAACAGAGAAGCGCCUGAUUUCAAAGUGUCAGCACAAUUGGAAAGUCGUAAACAAAAACGCAACAUGAGAUUCAAGACACUUUCGUCUGGGAGGCUGAACAGAACUAAACGAAGAAAUAGUUCACAUACAUAAGAACCACCAUUUUUAUUGCACCGCUAGAGUUAAGAAGAAGAAAAGCUGGAAACUGAAAAUUUCCUUGCAAAUUAAUCGAUGUCCCAAGUUUUAAGAGAUCGAUAUCAUCUUCAAUCGGAAUAAAUCUAUGGAAUUAAAGAAUUUAUUCAAUAUUCCCCGCAAUUCGAAUUGAAACACACAAACAAAUGAAUGUACCUAAAUCCUUUUUUGUCUAGCGAACAAGCGAUCAAAACUAGGGAAACAUAUGUACGUUUUUUCCCCUAUAAUUGAUGGCAAUCUGGUCCCAAUAAAUCCUUCUCACCCA